GCACUGAAAGGAUGAUAAUUCUGUUUUUAUCAAUUUUUUAUAACAAUACUUUUAAGUCCAUCUUUUAGUAGAUUUUAAAUCUAAUAGCCGAAUUUAAUUAAUAAUGUAACUCACCUUAUAUUCUUACUUAUUGGCUGCACUUUGAUUUGUAAUGUACCUUUAAAGGAAAAGAAUUCACCUUAAGGUGAAUUCUUGACAACGGUAUACAAGCUUAUAAAAGUAAGUAGUGAUUACUUGGUGGUUAUCAAUUACAUGGUAAGUUCCCCUAAAUUACUUCUUUCAGCCGCCAUAAUAUUUAAGUUUGAACCAUCUUGGUAGUAGUAAUCCUUGUUUGAAUUAUUUAAUUUCUAUAUAACUGGGUAUCUAAUCCAGGUUUAUAUUCCAGAGUUUAGCAUUAAAAUAUAAUACAUAUUAAAUUUAAUUUGAUUAAUAGUGUUUCACUACAUAAUAACUUUUUAUGUAUAAUAUAAAACAAAACAAUAGCUAUAAAUUCAUCUAUUAGGUAUGACCGCGGUUGCUGGCACCUAAUACACCUAGAUAAAACAAAUGACUAAAUUUAAAUUUCUUUAAUUUAUUAAAAUUUUUAACUGGGAAAUUUAUUUAUAUCCCAUAUUAAAUCAGACUGUACAUUUAUAGUGCCAUCAUAUUAAAGUGGUUGCUCUAAGGGGGAAUUUACACCAUUUUAGG
rnacentral:rRNA from 1 species